rnacentral:lncRNA from 1 species
UGUUGUUGAAGCAAACUCACUGUUCCUCCACCUUCCAUUUCCGAUCAUUCUGUCUCAGAAAUUUCCAGCCGGUGUGUCUCUUUUGUCGAUCACUUCUUGAUGCUAUCCGGUAAGUCUGCUUCCUUUCUCUCUCGUUGUUUACUCCUUUCUUCCUCUCUUGAUUUUUGAAGGUUGUGUAUAGGUCGGGAUUCAUCCCCAAAUGUAAACAUGAGAGUUCUCUGAGCUUGGAUUGUCCCUUAAUCAGUCCUGUUGUGCGUUCCUCUUCUUGCAAGCUAAUCUCCUUUUCCUUUGUGCUUUUUCUCAGAUGUAGAUGUGGUGUCUCGGUCCCUCCGAUUCUAAAGCUCCAACGGUAACAACCAAACCAUUUACUUGUUCGUCUGUAUGAUGUAACUUUUUGAUAUCUAUGGCAAUACUCUUUAGCUCGUUGUACUGCGUUUAUGUUUUCUUCUUUACCUCUCCUGGUAGCAAUGUGGCAGAUUCUUGUAUUUUGAUGUAGGUAUGCUCUGUAACGAUCUGCAGUAGUCAUGUGCAUUAUUUACUAUCUACAAAUGCUUUUGUUAUUCUCAGUGCUGAAUAUUGAUUUUCCUGGUUCUGAUCCUCAAAGUUGGUAUUUGUGCUUUGUCUAUAUUGAUCUGUCUCCUGAUGUUGGUAGGUAGCUCCUCAAAAUUGUUGUACUCUUUUCUUUGUUGUGAUUCAACUACCAGAUUAGCUAAUAGGUCUGCCACAUUAUUGCCUUCUCUGAAAAUAUGGAUGAUGUUUGCAUUUAAUUGUUGUAAUCUCUUCCUUAUAAUCUCUCCUCUUUCCGCCAAAUCCCAGGGUAUCUUCCAAAGCCCUCUUAUCAUCUGCAUCAGACACAAUGAGUCGGUUUCGAUUAUUACUUCUCGCAGCCUGUUCUCCCAACAAUACUCCAAUGCUUCAUGUAUUGCCACUGCCUCUGCCUCUGUGU